rnacentral:rRNA from 1 species
AUUGAACGCUGGCGGCAGGCCUAACACAUGCAAGUCGAACGAGUGGCGGACGGGUGAGUAAUGUCUGGGAAACUGCCUGAUGGAGGGGGAUAACUACUGGAAAAGGUAGCUAAUACCGCAUACCAUCGGAUGUUCCCAGAUGGGAUUAGCUAGUAGGGGGGGGAAAGGCUCACCUAGGCGACGAUCCCUAGCUGGUCUGAGAGGAGAACCAGCCACACUGGAACGGAGACACGGUCCAGACUCCUAGGGGAGGAAGCAGUGGGGACGAUUGCACAAUGGGCGAAAGCCUGAUGCAGCCAUGCCGCGUGUAUGAAGAAGGCCUUCGGGUUGUAAAGUACUUUCAGCGGGGAGGCGUUACCCGCAGAAGAAGCACCGGCUAACUCCGUGCCAGCAGCCGCGGUAAUUC